ACCUAUCACCUGGGAAAGGGGUUGGACAAAGAAAAAAAUGUAGAAAUCAAGCAGAACAAGCAGCAGCUGUGUUGUUUUUGUUUAUCUGGCUUAGCUUGACAGCAUAUAAAGCACAGCACAGAGAACUGGGCUGUUUUUAGAAGCAACAAUUCCUGUGCUUUUGCUUCAUCCUUGAAUAUUGAAAGAAUAAUCCAAGAGGAAAAAACUAUAUUAAAAGCUGAAGCCACGGAGGUUCUGAAUAGAUGAUUGAACUCAGCCCCACCACCGUUCAGGAGACACUAUAACAUAGAGGAAUUUCUUGCACCUUGGCUGCCUGCAGCUAGGAAAAUCUCCCCUUGGUGCUAUCAUACCUGAAUAAUAUUCAAAUGGUAAAGGACGUUUUCUCUUAUUUAUGCAUUCUGGAGUAAUAGGAAAUGACAAGGGCACUGGGGAAAGAAAUGGAAAUAGUAGGUGUGCGGCAAGAAGCCCACUUUAUCACCAGCACAGUCAUCUCAUCCCUCACAUCCCCACUAAGUCUGGCCAUAUCACUGAGCUGGGGGGAGCUUUGUUAAGAUGUGUACUGGAGAGGUUGGAAAAAGAGAGAAAAAAAUGAGUGUAUCCUUGGAAAAAGGGGAAUAGGAUACAUAGAAAUCACAAUCCUAAAUAAAGCUAUUCAAAAGACAGAAGUAAUAAGUACUCCAUGGUGUCUACUCAGAAUUUUGCCCCUGCAAAGCCUGUGAAGUCUAUGUUCAUAUUCAAAAGUAAUGGUUCAACAGGUAAAAAAGAAGGAAACUGGCUUGGAAACAGUAACUACCAAAAUGAGUACUGCCUCUCUUUUGCUUUCAGCAAUCCAAAAUGCAUGUCACCCUCUGACUACAACCCACCCUUUGGGACCCUGGAGAAGUGCAUUCUCCAAAGUUCAUUUCUCCUGCCACUGAACCUUCUACCAAGAAUGAGUGUGUGGGAUUGUUUCAGAGCAAAGUUAGAGAAGCAUAAACUCUAAAGGAACAACAUACUGUACUUGAAACUCUGAAGACAUGAUUCAUACUGGGCUAAGGCAAGCAACUCAUUUUCUUAUGUAAGAUAGAGAAAAAAAAAGAAAAAAAAGAAAUCAGGUGUGAUCAGAACCUGCAGGGGGCACAAGGACUACAAGAUAAAAGAAAACAACAAAAAAACAGCAUAACAUCACCAAACCCCAUGGACCUCAAUUCCUUCUGUCCCGCCACCGUCAGCAAUAACAGCAGUUCUACAGAUGAUGUCCCAUACACGUCCGCUUGCACAUAAGCACUUUUCACCUGCUAUGCCACUUCGGUUCCUGCUCAGUGAUACAACAGUCGGGUUUAAGGAAGGGUCAUACUGGAACAAGUUGGUGACUGUUGUUGAUUGGUACCCAGAAACUAGCGUCACAUGGACAGCAGUAUCUUCUGCCCCCUGGAAACAGAAGCAAGGAAAACAUCAAGGAUAAAAGCUCACCAAUACAAGAAAAAUAGUUAUUUCUUAUAUUCAUGUAUUCAGACAUCUCCUACAUUUAAUAAGUCAGGCACAUGGCACUGCCAAAUUUGCAUAUACAUUAGACUCAAAUGUGUGUGUUUUUGUCUCUAAAGGCACGUCUAUGGAGAAUUAUAAAUCUCAAAACAAUCACAGACCACGCAGAUUUUUAUUUGCUCUCUCUGCAA